AGAGUUUGAUCCUGGCUCAGAUUGAACGCUGGCGGCAUGCCUUACACAUGCAAGUCGAACGGCAGCACGGGGGCAACCCUGGUGGCGAGUGGCGAACGGGUGAGUAACGCAUCGGAAUGUACCCAGUAGUGGGGGAUAACUAGUCGAAAGAUUAGCUAAUACCGCAUACGCACUGAGGUGGAAAGCGGGGGAUCGCAAGGCCUCGCGCUAUUGGAGCAGCCGAUGUCCGAUUAGGUAGUUGGUGGGGUAAAGGCCUACCAAGCCUGCGAUCGGUAACUGGUCUGAGAGGACGACCAGUCACACUGGGACUGAGACACGGCCCAGACUCCUACGGGAGGCAGCAGUGGGGAAUUUUGGACAAUGGGCGCAAGCCUGAUCCAGCAAUGCCGCGUGUGUGAAGAAGGCCUUCGGGUUGUAAAGCACUUUUGGCGGGAGCGAAACGGCGUUUGCUAAUACCAGACGCUAAUGACGGUACCCGCAGAAUAAGCACCGGCUAACUACGUG
rnacentral:rRNA from 1 species